rnacentral:rRNA from 1 species
AUUUUGUACAAUCGGGGGAACCGUUAUCCAGCCAUGCCGCGUUUGUGAAGAAGGCCUUUUGGUUGUAAAGCAAUUUAAGCGAGGAGGAGGCUACUUAGAUUAACACCCUAGGAUAGUGGACGUUACUCGCAGAAUAAGCACCGGCUAACUCUGUGCCAGCAGCCGCGGUAAUACAGAGGGUGCAAGCGUUAAUCGGAUUUACUGGGCGUAAAGCGCGCGUAGGUGGCCAAUUAAGUCAAAUGUGAAAUCCCCGAGCUUAACUUGGGAAUUGCAUUCGAUACUGGUUGGCUAGAGUAUGGGAGAGGAUGGAAGAAUUCCAGGUGUAGCGGUGAAAUGCGUAGAGAUCUGGAGGAAUACCGAUGGCGAAGGCAGCCAUCUGGCCUAAUACUGACACUGAGGUGCGAAAGCAUGGGGAGCAAACAG